UACGAAGGGGGCUAGCGUUGUUCGGAAUUACUGGGCGUAAAGCGCACGUAGGCGGCUUUGUAAGUUAGAGGUGAAAGCCCGGGGCUCAACUCCGGAACUGCCUUUAAGACUGCAUCGCUUGAAUCCAGGAGAGGUGAGUGGAAUUCCGAGUGUAGAGGUGAAAUUCGUAGAUAUUCGGAAGAAACACCAGUGGCGAAGGCGGACACACUGGCCCGAUACUGACGCUGAGGUGGCGAAAGCGUGGGGAGCAAACAGG
rnacentral:rRNA from 1 species